rnacentral:lncRNA from 1 species
CUCACUCGUGUACAAAAAACCAAGGCGAUGUUAAGUUAACAAUAUCACUAUCACAAGGGAAACAUAAGGCCACCAAAAGUAUUGUUGGUCCACUUUCCUCUUACAAAAAAAUAAUGUGAACAAGUUAAAAAGUGACUGGAAGAUGCAACCAAUCAACUAUCCAAAUCAUAAGGCAUGUAAACUGAUUAAGACCACAAGGGUUGGCAGCUACAAUUCUAUAACAAUUCCAUUUUUAUUUGCACUGUUCAUGGUACAAAUUCUAACUAAUUAAGACUAAGCCACUCUU